UACAGGGGGUGCUAGCGUCGUUCGGAUUUACUGGGCGUAAAGGGCGCGCAAGCUGGACUGCAAGCCAGAAGUGAAAUCCCGGGGCUUAACUCCGGAAUUGCUUUUGGAGCUGCAGACCUAGAGUACAAUAGAGGCAAGUGGAAUUCCUAGUGUAGAGGUGAAAUUCGUAGAUAUUAGGAGGAACACCGGUGGCGAAAGCGACUUGCUGGGUUGUAACUGACGCUGAGGCGCGAAAGCGUGGGUAGCAAACAGG
rnacentral:rRNA from 1 species